CGGUACAUCGGUGACAGGUGGUGCAUGGUUGUCGUCAGCUCGUGUCGUGAGAUGUUGGGUUAAGUCCCGCAACGAGCGCAACCCCUAUUGUUAGUUGCCAUCAUUCAGUUGGGCACUCUAGCGAGACUGCCGGUAAUAAACCGGAGGAAGGUGGGGAUGACGUCAAAUCAUCAUGCCCCUUAUGACCUGGGCUACACACGUGCUACAAUGGUUGGUACAACGAGUUGCGAGUCGGUGACGGCGAGCUAAUCUCUUAAAGCCAAUCUCAGUUCGGAUUGUAGGCUGCAACUCGCCUACAUGAAGUCGGAAUCGCUAGUAAUCGCGGAUCAGCACGCCCGCGGUCCGAGUACGUUCCGGGCCUU
rnacentral:rRNA from 1 species